CACCAAGGAAGCUACAGCUGUGUUUAUCACCUCUUGGUUUUUUCUCAUAACUUCUCCUCUGAGAGCCGUCGGCUGUCGCUCACUGUCUCAGAUCCAACAGGUCUUCUCAUCAAAGUGGUCGUCCUGCCGCUGACUCUGCUGUUGGUGAUCGCUGCCCUUUGUUUCUACCGUAAGGCCAGCAGGGGGCAGAAGCCGGGCAGGCAGGAGGACAUCGAGCUGGAUUAUUAUAGCC